CGGCGUGCUUAACACAUGCAAGUCGAGCGGUAAGGCCCUUCGGGGUACACGAGCGGCGAACGGGUGAGUAACACGUGGGUGAUCUGCCUCGCACUCUGGGAUAAGCCUGGGAAACUGGGUCUAAUACCGGAUAUGACCACGAAUCGCAUGGUUUGUGGUGGAAAGGUUUACUGGUGCGAGAUGGGCCCGCGGCCUAUCAGCUUGUUGGUGGGGUAACGGCCUACCAAGGCGACGACGGGUAGCCGGCCUGAGAGGGCGACCGGCCACACUGGGACUGAGACACGGCCCAGACUCCUACGGGAGGCAGCAGUGGGGAAUAUUGCACAAUGGGCGAAAGCCUGAUGCAGCGACGCCGCGUGAGGGAUGACGGCCUUCGGGGAAACCUCUUUCGACAGGGACGAAGCGCAAGUGACGGUACCUGUAGAAGAWGCACCGGCCAACUACGUGCCAGCAGCCGCGGUAAUAC
rnacentral:rRNA from 1 species